UACGAAGGGGGCUAGCGUUGUUCGGAUUUACUGGGCGUAAAGCGCACGUAGGCGGAUCGAUCAGUCAGGGGUGAAAUCCCAGGGCUCAACUCUGGAACUGCCUUUGAUACUGUCGAUCUGGAGUAUGGAAGAGGUGAGUGGAAUUCCGAGUGUAGAGGUGAAAUUCGUAGAUAUUCGGAGGAACACCAGUGGCGAAGGCGGCUCACUGGUCCAUUACUGACGCUGAGGUGCGAAAGCGUGGGGAGCAAACAGG
rnacentral:rRNA from 1 species